rnacentral:tRNA from 1 species
GCGGGGAUGCCGGAGCGGUCUAACGGGUCAGGCUUAGGACCUGAUGGCUUAGUGCCUUCCUAGGUUCGAAUCCUAGUCCCCGCA